rnacentral:rRNA from 1 species
UACGGAGGGUGCAAGCGUUAUCCGGAUUUACUGGGUUUAAAGGGUGCGCAGGCGGAUAUGUAAGUCAGUGGUGAAAUCUCUAGGCUUAACCUGGAAAUUGCCGUUGAUACUAUAUAUCUUGAAUGCUGUGGAGGUAAGCGGAAUAUGUCAUGUAGCGGUGAAAUGCUUAGAUAUGACAUAGAACACCUAUUGCGAAGGCAGCUUACUACGCAGAUAUUGACGCUCAUGCACGAAAUGCGUGGGGAUCAAACAGGA